rnacentral:rRNA from 1 species
GUGUCAGCCGCCGCGGUAAUACGAAGGGGGCUAGCGUUGUUCGGAAUUACUGGGCGUAAAGGGCGCGUAGGCUGUGCUGUAAGUCAGGCGUGAAAGGCCCGGGCUCAACCUGGGAACUGCGCUUGAUACUGCGGCGCUUGAAGACGGGAGAGGAUGGCGGAAUUCCCAGUGUAGAGGUGAAAUUCGUAGAUAUUGGGAAGAACACCGGUGGCGAAGGCGGCCAUCUGGCCCGUUAUUGACGCUGAGGCGCGAAAGCGUGGGGAGCAAACAGGAUUAGAUACCCUGGUAGUCC